rnacentral:rRNA from 1 species
GUCCUUGCCGUAAACGAUGUGGAUUAGGUGUCGGGGGUGUUGAUCCCCUCGAUGCCGACGAUAACUCAUUAAAUCCACCACCUGGGGAGUACGGUCGCAAGACUGAAACUCAAAGAAAUUGACGGGGACCCGCACAAGCGGUGGAGCAUGUGGUUUAAUUCGAGGCUACGCGAAGAACCUUACCCAGGCUUGACAUGUUUAGGACAGCGCAUGAAAGUGCGUCUUCCCGCAAGGGGACCUUUACACAGGUGCUGCAUGGCUGUCGU